rnacentral:rRNA from 1 species
UACGUAGGUGGCAAGCGUUGUCCGGAUUUAUUGGGCGUAAAGCGCGCGCAGGUGGUUCGUUGCGUCCGAGGUGAAAUCUCCCCGGCUCAACUGGGAGGGGUCUUCGGAUACGGGCGGACUUGAGGAGAGCAGAGGUAGGCGGAAUGCUGGGUGUAGUGGUGAAAUGCGUAGAUAUGCGGAGGAACACCGAUGGCGAAGGCAAUCCCCUGGGCCUGCACUGACGCUCAUGCACGAAAGCGUGGGGAGCAAACAGG